rnacentral:rRNA from 1 species
ACGGGACUCUUCGGAGUUCAGUGGCGGACGGGUGAGUAACGCGUGAGGAUCUGCCUAUAGGUUGGGGACAACAGAUGGAAACGUCUGCUAAUACCCAAUGUGCCGAGAGGUGAAAGCUUUAGUGCCUGUAGAUGAGCUCGCGUCCGAUUAGCUAGUUGGUAGGGUAAAGGCUUACCAAGGCGACGAUCGGUAGCUGGUCUGAGAGGAUGAUCAGCCACACUGGGACUGAGACACGGCCCAGACUCCUACGGGAGGCAGCAGUGGGGAAUUUUCCGCAAUGGGCGAAAGCCUGACGGAGCAAUACCGCGUGCGGGACGAAGGCUUUUGGGUCGUAAACCGCUUUUGUUAGGGAAGAACGCAAUGACGGUACCUAACGAAUCAGCAUCGGCUAACUCCGUGCCAGCAGCCGCGGUAAUACGGGGGAUGCAAGCGUUAUCCGGAAUUAUUGGGCGUAAAGCGUCCGCAGGUGGUUUAUCAAGUCUGCUGUUAAAUCGUAGGGCUUAACCCUAUAAAGGCAGUGGAAACUGAGAGACUAGAGUAUGGUAGGGGUAGCGGGAAUUCCCAGUGUAGCGGUGAAAUGCGUAGAUAUCGGGAAGAACACCAGCGGCGAAGGCGCGCUACUGGGCCAAAACUGACACUCAUGGACGAAAGCUAGGGGAGCGAAAGGGAUUAGAUACCCCUGUAGUCCUAGCCGUAAACGAUGGAUACUAGGCGUUGUCCGUAUCGACCCGAGCCGUGCCGAAGC